rnacentral:rRNA from 1 species
UACGUAGGGUGCAAGCGUUAAUCGGAAUUACUGGGCGUAAAGCGUGCGCAGGCGGUGAUGUAAGACAGAUGUGAAAUCCCCGGGCUCAACCUGGGAACUGCAUUUGUGACUGCAUCGCUGGAGUGCGGCAGAGGGGGAUGGAAUUCCGGGUGUAGUGGUGAAAUGCGUAGAGAUCCGGAGGAACACCAGUGGCGAAGGCGACACGCUGGGCCGUACCUGACACUGAUGCGCGACAGCAUGGGGAGCAAACAGG